UGCCAGCCGCCGCGGUAAUACGUAGGGGCCAAACGUUGUCCGGAUUUAUUGGGCGUAAAGAGCUCGUAGGCGGCUUGGUAAGUCGGGUGUGAAAACUCCAGGCUCAACUUGGAGACGCCACCCGAUACUGCCAUGGCUAGAGUCCGGUAGAGGAGCGUGGAAUUCCCAGUGUAGCGGUGAAAUGCAUAGAUAUUGGGAGGAACACCAGUGGCGAAGGCGGCUAACUGGCUCGGUACUGACGCUGAGAUGCGAAAGCGUGGGUAGCAAACAGGAUUAGAUA
rnacentral:rRNA from 1 species